UCAAUGGUGCAACACUAACCAAGAUCCAAUCAAGAGUGUGUAAAACGAAAUUUAAUUAGUUAAUAAUUAAAUUAAGGAUUGGUGAUGGGGUCCUUCUCUAGUGCUUCAAAAGCUCUGAUUGUGGGUGCGUUUGUGAUUAUUCUUGUGGCUUGGGAAGUUGGGGCAGCCGGAGAGUGCGGGAAGACGCCGAUAGAAUCGGCAGCGGCGGGGCUGACGCCGUGCCUGGGGGCAGUGAGGGACGCAAAAGCUAAGGUUACGAGGCGGCGUGCUGCGGCAAAGUGGCGGCGAUGUUUAUAGUACUCCGAAAUGCUUGUGCGCCAUUCUUCUAUCGCCUUUGGCUAAGCAGGCAGGAAUAAACCCCGGCAUUGCCAUUACAAUCCCUAAACGCUGUAACAUCCGAAACCGUCCCGUCGGCAAGAAGUGUGGAAAGUACACUCUCCCUUGAGAACUAAAGUCCAGCAGCCCACAGCCACAUGGAGAAAAGUUGUUAUGUUAUAAUUAUGCCACAUGAUAUUUGACCCCAAUAAAUUUUAUAUAUCCAAUGUGCUCUAAUGUCUAAUAUUUUAGUUGUUUUUACUUUUACAUAAUGUUAAUGUUUGUGGGACUUACAUUUGUUUCUAUGGGUGUAAUAAAAUAAUAGUCCUUAAUUUUCUUUUUA